AGCUAGUGAUGUGGGCAUUUAAAAAGUAGGUCCCCAAAGCGCUCCCUAGUCUCGAAAAAGAUUUCCCCAUCCAUCUGUGAGAAACUCAUGAUGGCUCUCCGAAGUU